CCUUCAGGUUGGUAGCAGGCAGUCAGAUGUUGCAGAUGAACUUGGUGACUCCACUGCUUUAACUGGAAUGACAGGCCACUGUUGCUGAAAUGAUGGUCGUCAGCGAUGCUGGAGAAGGCGAG